GCCGAGAUAGCUCAGUCGGUAGAGCAGCGGACUGAAAAUCCGCGUGUCCGCAGUUCGAUUCUGCGUCUCGGCACCA
rnacentral:tRNA from 1 species